rnacentral:rRNA from 1 species
GACGAACGCUGGCGGCGUGCUUAACACAUGCCAGUCGAACGGAAAGGCCCUUCGGGGUCCUCGAGUGGCGAACGGGUGAGUAACACGUGGGUGAUCUGCCCUGCACUUUGGGAUAAGCCUGGGAAACUGGGUCUAAUACCGAAUAGGACCACGCGCUUCAUGGUGUGUGGUGGAAAGCUUUUGCGGUGUGGGAUGGGCCCGCGGCCUAUCAGCUUGUUGGUGGGGUAAUGGCCUACCAAGGCGACGACGGGUAGCCGGCCUGAGAGGGUGACCGGCCACACUGGGACUGAGAUACGGCGCAGACUCCUACGGGAGGCAGCAGUGGGGAAUAUUGCACAAUGGGCGCAAGCCUGAUGCAGCGACGCCGCGUGAGGGAUGACGGCCUUCGGGUUGUAAACCUCUUUCAAUAGGGACGAAGCGCAAGUGACGGUACCUAUAGAAGAAGCACCGGCCAACUACGUG